UACAUGGGGUGCAAACGUUGCUCGGAAUCAUUGGGCGUAAAGCGCGCGUAGGCGGUUACUUAAGUUGGAUGUGAAAGCCCUCGGCUUAACCGAGGAAGUGCAUCCAAAACUGAGUAGCUAGAGUACGAAAGAGGGUCGCGGAAUUCCCGGUGUAGAGGUGAAAUUCGUAGAUAUCGGGAGGAACACCGGUGGCGAAGGCGGCGACCUGGGUCGAGACUGACGCUGAUACGCGAAAGCGUGGGGAGCAAACAGG
rnacentral:rRNA from 1 species